GGGGGGAGCGCUGGAUCUUGGGCUGUGUCCCCCGGCGCCCUGGGCUCCAGGGCCUGUGCCACGGGAAUCGCGCUCCCUGGCUGCACAACCCUCU
rnacentral:pre_miRNA from 1 species